rnacentral:rRNA from 1 species
GAUGAACGCUAGCUACAGGCUUAACACAUGCAAGUCGAGGGGCAGCAUUAUCUUAGCUUGCUAAGAUAGAUGGCGACCGGCGCACGGGUGAGUAACACGUAUCCAACCUUCCGGUUACUCUGGGAUAGGCUUUCGAAAGAAAGAUUAAUACCCGAUGUUGUGUAUUUUUCUCCUGAAAGAUACGCCAAAGGAUUCCGGUAACCGAUGGGGAUGCGUUCCAUUAGGCAGUUGGCGGGGUAACGGCCCACCAAACCUUCGAUGGAUAGGGGUUCUGAGAGGAAGGUCCCCCACAUUGGAACUGAGACACGGUCCAAACUCCUACGGGAGGCAGCAGUGAGGAAUAUUGGUCAAUGGACGGAAGUCUGAACCAGCCAAGUAGCGUGAAGGAUGACUGCCCUCUGGGUUGUAAACUUCUUUUAUACGGGAAUAACAUGAGGUACGCGUACCUUAUUGCAUGUACCGUUAUGAAUAAGCAUCGGCUAACUCCGUGCCAGCAGCCGCGGUAAUACGGAGGAUGCGAGCGUUAUCCGGAUUUAUUGGGUUUAAAGGGAGCGUAGGUGGGAUAUUAAGUCAGCUGUGAAAGUUUGGGGCUCAACCUUAAAAUUGCAGUUGAUACUGGUUUCCU